GGGCGUAUAGCUCAGCGGAAGAGCACUCGGUUUACACCCGAGCGGCCGUAGGUUCGAGUCCUACUACGCCCA
rnacentral:tRNA from 1 species